rnacentral:rRNA from 1 species
ACUCAAAUGAAUAGACGGGGGCCCGCACAAGCGGUGGAGCAUGUGGUUUAAUUCGACGCAACGCGAAGAACCUUACCUGGGCUCGAACGGCUGGUCAACGGCUUUGGAAACAGAGCUACUCCGCAAGGAGGUCCAGUCGAGGUGCUGCAUGGCUGUCGUCAGCUCGUGUCGUGAGAUGUUGGGUUAAGUCCCGCAACGAGCGCAACCCUUGUCCUGUGUUGCUAACCCGAAAGGGUGCACUCUCAGGAGACCGCCAGCGAUAAGUUGGAGGAAGGUGGGGAUGACGUCAAGUCAUCAUGGCCUUUAUGUCCAGGGCUACACACGUGCUACAAUGGGCGGUACAAACCGUUGCAAACCCGCGAGGGGGAGCUAAUCGGAGAAAACCGUUCUCAGUUCGGAUUGCAGGCUGCAACCCGCCUGCAUGAAGCUGGAAUCGCUAGUAAUGGCAUAUCAGAACGAUGCCGUGAAUACGUUCCCGGGCCUUGCACACACCGCCCGU